AGGAGGAAAUAAAUAAAUAAAACAAUAACCUCCGCGCCAAUAAGAGCGAGGGAGAGAGAAAGACGCGGCCAGAGAGCCACGGGUGCCAGUCCGCUCGCCUGUGACAGGCUCUCGGAGCGCGCGUGUGUGUGCGUUGAGUGUGUAUUCGCUGGGACUGGAGCUGGAAAGUUCAAACUAAACGUGUUGCUCUCCCCGGUGGCCGAGGCUCGCCACGGAGGCUCUGCCCAACUUCUCUGGGCCAAGUGACUGGCAGUGCCCGGCGCCCUUGGCGCGUCGCAGGCGGCUCGGCCCCGCGCCCGGGCGCAGCGGCGGAGGCGGCUCCGGUCACCCCCGGAAGGGAGCCCGCGGCCAGGGCUGGACGCUCGCCCCGCCACAUCGCAGACUCACGGGGUCCUGAGCUUGGAGCCCGACAACCGGAGAAAGAAUUGAAGACAGCAAGCAUAAGAACUAAAGAAAAAAGAUAAAAAUAACAAGUGGAUAUUCAUCUCCUGUGACAUUUAUUCUGGAUGAAAAAUUGAAACAACUCACAGAGGUAAAUUGCUACCGGAAGCCUGUCUUCCUUUAAAGAGGCCACAACUUCAAACUCCUGCGGUGGAUAUAGAUUUUGCUCAAGAAAACAAUAGGAGUAGGAGGUGUAGGGACUGCCUGCUACACUCAGUGGACCUGCCUUUGACCUGCAUCUGCAUCUGGGUGAAAAUCUGAUACCUAUAAAGAAUACCCUAGGCUGAGCGACCGGGUGGCCACCAUUUUCCACCUGUGACGGGCCAGCAGACUGAGGCAAAACACGCUGAGUUUGCUGGCAGACGGUCUACACUGGAACUGAGCAAGAAUCUCCAGGGAAGGCCUUGCAGAGGUAGAAAGAUGACUCUGCUGAGAUGGGUUCUUAAUUAAUGCACUGAGAGCCUGUGAGUCCCACCUCUGAACAGGAAUGAUUGACGUCCAAGGAUACAUAAAUUACACUAAUUGAGCUCUGCCUCUAUGUAGGCUUUGCACAGCCAACUCAUCAGAGAAGCUAGGUGAGUAGACCAGCAUUAAAAGUUACUCAAUAUGUUCUAUGCUUUCCCAGAGGAUGGAGAAGGAACUUCCCAGGCCCUUGCACAUUUAUUAACACAGAAGGCAGUUCUUUGCAUCGGUUUUAAGAUGUAGGUUUUGUG